rnacentral:lncRNA from 1 species
CGGAGGAGAGGUGUUAAGUGUGAUGCUUCCAUAAUACAUUUGGAUGCUGUCAGCUAAGUUCACUUCUGAACUAAGGGGUUCCUCCAAAUGUUGGCUGAAAUUCAUCCCAAGGCUGGUCUGCAAAGUCUGCAAUUCAUAAUGGAGCUACUGUACUGGCUAUUGGAAGGAGGAGAUUCUGAAGAUAAGGAGGAUGCCACUGGAAAUGUUGAAAUGAAAAAUAUUCAGCCGUUGGUCUUUGAAAUUUCCUGUGAUGUGUUUCAAUCUAGAUGCAAAGAACAUGGAAAAAUCAAAGUGCUCGAGUGGUUUAAAUAUGUUUUGGGUAUUCCUGUUUAUAGACUAUAAUACUUUUCCAAUUAAAAUCCUCAGUUGUCACGCAGAAGAAGGUUAAGCUGUAUUUGAUUGCCAGUUUUACUGAAAAUGCUUAGUAUUUUACAGUAUCACCAAAUAUAUUUUGUUUAGCCAAGGUAUAGGAAAAAUAAAAUAAAUUGUAUAGGUU